rnacentral:rRNA from 1 species
GAUGAACGCUGGCGGCGUGCCUAAUACAUGCCAGUCGAGCGAACGGACGAGAAGCUCGCUUCUCUGAUGUUAGCGGCGGACGGGUGAGUAACACGUGGAUAACCUACCUAUAAGACUGGGAUAACUUCGGGAAACCGGUGCUAAUACCGGAUCAUAUUUUGAACCGCAUGGUUCAAAAGUGCAAGACGGCCUUGCUGUCACUUAUAGCUGGAUCCGCGCUGCAUUAGCUAGUUGGUAAGGUAACGGCUUACCAAGGCAACGAUGCAUAGCCGACCUGAGAGGGUGAUCGGCCACACUGGAACUGAGACACGGUCCAGACUCCUACGGGAGGCAGCAGUAGGGAAUCUUCCGCAAUGGGCGAAAGCCUGACGGAGCAACGCCGCGUGAGUGAUGAAGGUCUUCGGGUCGUAAAACUCUUUUAUUAGGGAAGAAAAGAUGUGUAAGUAACUGUGGACAUCUUGACGGUACCUAAUCAGAAAGCCACGGCUAACUACGUG